UACGGGGGGGGUAAGCGUUGUUCGGAAUUACUGGGCGUAAAGGGCGCGUAGGCGGCGUGUCAAGUCAGGCGUGAAAGCCCCGGGCUCAACCUGGGAACCGCGCUUGAGACUGGCAUGCUCGAGUUCGGGAGAGGAUGGUGGAAUUCCCAGUGUAGAGGUGAAAUUCGUAGAUAUUGGGAAGAACACCGAUGGCGAAGGCAGCCAUCUGGACCGACACUGACGCUGAGGCGCGAAAGCGUGGGGAGCAAACGGG
rnacentral:rRNA from 1 species